AGUUGAGAGGAUCAACCAGGGAUGGUACUGGAGUUCAUGACAGUAUUGUGAAUCAACUGCUUACAAAGAUAGAUGGUGUAGAGGCUUUGAAUAAUGUCUUGCUCAUUGGAAUGACCAACAGAAAGGAUUUACUUGAUGAAGCCCUAUUAAGACCAGGACGGUUGGAGGUUCAAGUUGAGAUAAGCCUGCCUGAUGAGAAUGGUCGUCUACAAAUUCUUCAAAUUCAUACAAAUAAAAUGAAGGAAAAUUCCUUUCUUGCUCCUGAUGUGAACCUUGCAG